rnacentral:rRNA from 1 species
UACGUAGGGUGCGAGCGUUGUCCGGAAUUAUUGGGCGUAAAGGGCUCGUAGGCGGUUUGUCGCGUCGGGAGUGAAAACUCAGGGCUUAACCCUGAGCCUGCUUCCGAUACGGGCAGACUAGAGGUAUGCAGGGGAGAACGGAAUUCCUGGUGUAGCGGUGAAAUGCGCAGAUAUCAGGAGGAACACCGGUGGCGAAGGCGGUUCUCUGGGCAUUACCUGACGCUGAGGAGCGAAAGCCAGGGGAGCAAACGGG